UACGUAGGGGGCAAGCGUUGUUCGGAAUUACUGGGCGUAAAGGGCGCGUAGGCGGCAUGGCAAGUCAGGAGUGAAAGGCCUGGGCUCAACCGAGGAACUGCUUUUGAUACUGCCAAGCUAGAGUGCGGCAGAGGGGGAUGGAAUUCCGCGUGUAGCAGUGAAAUGCGUAGAUAUGCGGAGGAACACCGAUGGCGAAGGCAAUCCCCUGGGCCUGCACUGACGCUCAUGCACGAAAGCGUGGGGAGCAAACAGGA
rnacentral:rRNA from 1 species